AUAAUUGAAGCUUAAAGAUUUAAUUUUUCCUAAAUAAACACAUGAAAGGAGUGACUCAUAAUGGCAGGCGAUAUCAUGAACACAAUCAACGGUUUAAUCAAAUGGAUCAUCGACACAGUUGAAAAAUACAAAAAAUAAUUAGUCUUGAAUAUCUAAUCUUAAUUUAUCUCAAUUGAGAAGGGAGGCACUUAUAAUGGCAGGCGAUAUCUUCAAAGCUUUAAUCGAAUUAGGUCGUUUCAUCGCAGACAUGGUUAAAAAAUUCAAAAAAUAAUUCAUCCUUUUAAAAGCAUAGGGUUACCCUAUGAUAAUAUUUGAUAUGUAUCAUUUGGAAGCUAAUGCCGUAAAGUUUAGCAAGUAGUUAUAAAAGCUAUCGUAAGCAUCAUUCAAUUUAUCAUUAAACAAUCGGUAAAUUCACUAAAUUUUUUCAUAAUUAAAUAAAACAUCCCCAAAAUAGAUAGAGUAAUAACUGUAAAUAAACAUUCCCUUAAUAAUAAAAACCCGAGUCCCUCCCAAGCUCGGGUUUAU
rnacentral:ncRNA from 1 species